rnacentral:rRNA from 1 species
GACGAACGCUGGCGGCGUGCCUAAUACAUGCAAGUCGAGCGAAGUUUUUCUGGUGCUUGCACUAGAAAAACUUAGCGGCGAACGGGUGAGUAACACGUAAAGAACCUGCCUCAUAGACGGGGACAACUAUUGGAAACGAUAGCUAAUACCGGAUAACAGCAUAAAUCGCAUGAUAUAUGUUUAAAAGUUGGUUUCGGCUAACACUAUGAGAUGGCUUUGCGGUGCAUUAGCUAGUUGGUGGGGUAAAGGCCUACCAAGGCGACGAUGCAUAGCCGACCUGAGAGGGUGAUCGGCCACACUGGGACUGAGACACGGCCCAGACUCCUACGGGAGGCAGCAGUAGGGAAUCUUCCGCAAUGGGCGAAAGCCUGACGGAGCAACGCCGCGUGAGUGAAGAGGGAUUUCGGUUCGUAAAGCUCUGUUGUUAGGGAAGAAUGAUUGUGUAGUAACUAUACACAGUAGAGACGGUACCUAACCAG